rnacentral:rRNA from 1 species
UACGUAGGUGGCAAGCGUUGUCCGGAUUUAUUGGGCGUAAAGCGCGCGCAGGUGGUUUCUUAAGUCUGAUGUGAAAGCCCACGGCUCAACCGUGGAGGGUCAUUGGAAACUGGGAGACUUGAGUGCAGAAGAGGAUAGUGGAAUUCCAAGUGUAGCGGUGAAAUGCGUAGAGAUUUGGAGGAACACCAGUGGCGAAGGCGACUAUCUGGGCUGUAACUGACACUGAGGCGCGAAAGCGUGGGGAGCAAACAGG